GGGAAGAGUAUUUACCCGCUAAUCUCUUUAUUCCCUCGCCUGACAAAAUAUCUGCAUUCCUGGGCGGCCUCAAGAAAUGAACUACAGACAUCUAUUCCCUUUGUGAUACCUCCUUGGAAUCAAAGUGUGGAGUGUAACAAUGUGCCUCCACACACUCACACUAGUUGAUGCUUCAUCUUGGUGAAAUCAAGUUUUUGGAAUUACCUUUCCUAAGAUCAUUCUAUUCACAGAGAAGGAGCUUAAUGAAACUAUGGUGGAUGUAUUCUAGACAGAAGAAGGAUUAAACCAAGAUAAAAACAAUGUGAAUGAGGAAAGUGGGAGUAACAGGGAUUCCAAG
rnacentral:lncRNA from 1 species